AUUGAACGCUAGCGGGAUGCCUUACACAUGCAAGUCGAACGGCAGCACGGACUUCGGUCUGGUGGCGAGUGGCGAACGGGUGAGUAAUGUAUCGGAACGUGCCCAGUAGCGGGGGAUAACUACUCGAAAGAGUAGCUAAUACCGCAUACGCCCUACGGGGGAAAGGGGGGGACGGCCAGACCCCUCACUAGUGGAGCGGCAGAUAUCGGAUUAGCUAGUUGGUGGGGUAAAGGCCCGCCAAGGCGACGAGCCGUAGCUGGUUUGAGAGGACGACCAGCCACACUGGGACUGAGACACGGCCCAGACUCCUACGGGAGGCAGCAGUGGGGAAUUUUGGACAAUGGGGGCAACCCUGAUCCAGCCAUCCCGCGUGGGCGAUGAAGGCCUUCGGGUUGUAAAGCACUUUUGGCAGGAAAGAAAUCGCACGGGCUAAUACCUCGUGUGGAUGACGGUACCUGCAGAAUAAGCACCGGCUAACUACGUGCCAGCAGCCGCCGUAA
rnacentral:rRNA from 1 species